GAAUGUACCGAUUUCGAUGAUUCUUUUUGAAUCAAAGGCUGGUUUGGCAAAGGUUUUGCGAGCAAACACUAAGGUGCCGCCGGAAUUCAGAUGGGGUUUUGUUGGAUAGUGAAUAGUACCGCAUUGCAGUGAACGUCUAUUGGGAAUAACGCGGUAUUAAAUCAAAGGACUUAACUGUUCCUGCCAGCCCAAUGACUCCUAUAUAUUUGUGUCAAGCUCCAAGGAAUCCUCAAUUUUUUUCUAACUUCAUUACAAAUUAUUGAUUUAUGACAAAAU
rnacentral:misc_RNA from 1 species